UACAGAGGGGGCAAGCGUUAUUCGGAAUUAUUGGGCGUAAAGGGCGCGUAGGCGGCUUUGCAAGUGACGGGUGAAAUCCCUCGGCUUAACCGAGGAACUGCCUGUCAGACUGUGAGGCUUGAGACCGGGAGAGGUGAGUGGAAUUCCCAGUGUAGAGGUGAAAUUCGUAGAUAUUGGGAAGAACACCGGUGGCGAAGGCGGCUCACUGGCUCAUUUCUGACGCUCAGGCGCGACAGCGUGGGGAUCAAACAGG
rnacentral:rRNA from 1 species